UUCUGGCUCAGGAUGAACGCUGGCGGCGUGCUUAACACAUGCAAGUCGAACGAAGCAACUAUCUUGCUGCAAGAAAGUUGACUUAGUGGCGGACGGGUGAGUAACGCGUGGGUAACCUGCCUCAUACAGGGGGAUAACAGUUGGAAACGACUGCUAAGACCGCAUAACCCGCUAGUGUCGCAUGACACGGACGGAAAAUAUUUAUAGGUAUGAGAUGGGCCCGCGUCUGAUUAGCUAGUUGGUAAGGUAACGGCUUACCAAGGCGACGAUCAGUAGCCGACUUGAGAGAGUGAUCGGCCACAUUGGGACUGAGACACGGCCCAAACUCCUACGGGAGGCAGCAGUGGGGAAUAUUGGACAAUGGGGGAAACCCUGAUCCAGCGAACCGCCGCGUGAGUGAAGAAGUAUUUCGGUAUGUAAAGCUCUAUCAGCAGGGAAGAUAAUGAUAGUACCUGACUAAGAAGCCCCGGCUAACUACGUGCCAGCCGCUGC
rnacentral:rRNA from 1 species